rnacentral:rRNA from 1 species
GACGGAGGAUGCAAGUGUUAUCCGGAAUCACUGGGCGUAAAGCGUCUGUAGGUGGUCAAAUAAGUCAACUGUUAAAUCUUGAGGCUCAACCUCAAAAUCGCAGUCGAAACUAUUAGGCUAGAGUAUAGUAGGGGUAAAGGGAAUUUCCAGUGGAGCGGUGAAAUGCGUAGAUAUUGGAAAGAACACCGAUGGCGAAGGCACUUUACUGGGCUAUUACUAACACUCAGAGACGAAAGCUAGGGUAGCAAAUGGG